rnacentral:rRNA from 1 species
UUGCCGUAAAAUCCCCCAACUUUCUGAAAA